AAAAAUUGUAAACCACAAACUCUAUAAGCCCUCUUCCUCAGGUCGCUCAAAUUUUUGGCAGCACAUCACUUCAGAUCUCAAUCCAUUUCCUAAUGGCAUCGAAAUGCAGCAGCAGAAUUAUGAAUAGGUCUACAAUUUCAUCCCUCAAAUCCUCCUUCAAUAAAUCAGCCUCCUCUUCUUCUUCUCUGGUUAACAGAUCCAUUCCGACGUCGUUUCCAAAAUCCACUAACGCCACCACGUCAUUCCUCCGCCGUUUCUCCCUCUCCAGGGCUCCGUCGGAAUUGGGAGCGGUGCAGUCGAUGCUACCGCUGCACAGCGCGGUUGCGACGGCGAGGAUGACGUCGUGCCUGAGUUUAACAUCCAGGAGUUGCAGGGCUCUUUCACAGGGUACACUCUGCUGCACUUCUCCAGAGCUCUAGUAUUCUCUUCCCUUGCACAUGAGUUUCCAAAAGCUUGAAAGAAUUAUACUGCCAUUUUACAAGAUGAAUAUGAUGGAACGUGAUACAUUUUUGCUGUUUUUGGAGGUGGGCUCCAUCACCUGCUCAAAUGAAUCUAGUUGCAAGGGACUUUUCUUUGUUUAUAACAUGUCUUAAGAUACUUUUUGUGGACGUUUUAGCUAGAAAUGAACUCGGUCUAGCUGUCUAUACAGUCACUUGCAAACUCAAGCUGUGGUAGAAUAUGUUUUCCCAAAAUACUUUUGGGAGAUGAUAGUAAAAACGGGCUGAUAAGCAAUUUGAUGAGAAUGUGCCGAGGUAGGACUAGGGAGCCGCUAGACGAAUAGUAGCAAAACAAGGAGGAUUUUCUGAGCGGAGAUGAUUAUUUGUAUAAUUUGGCAACAAGUUAUUUAACAGUCAUUUGCUGAAAUAUCUGUUGAUGAGAAAAGUCUUCUUUGUUUUA